rnacentral:lncRNA from 1 species
ACAGGCAAGACCGGGCUCCUUGCGGGGCGGAGGUGAGGCCGUGAGCAUAGCUCUCAAACUGGAGGGCGCCUCAGAAUCACUUGACGGGCUUGCGAGAAUGUGGACUGCUGGGCCCCACCUUCAUGGUUUUAGUGCAGGAAAAACCGAAUAGGCUGGGUGGGACGGAGAAUCUGCAUUUUCUCAAGUUCCCAGAUGAGGCUGAAGCUGCUGGUCCGGGCACCACCCUUAGAAAACCUCCAGUGUAGAGUGCGGAAAUGGGGUCCACAUCUGGCUUGGGACGCCCAAACAUCGAUUAUGUGCGACCAGAGGAUGAGCAGAUAGGGAGAUGAGACACUGAGAGCUGGGAGAGAGGGGGCCCCCGGCCGCCGGCUGAAGGAGGACGGCGCAG